GAACUGCGAUAAGUAAUGUGAAUUGCAGAAUUCAGUGAAUCAUCGAGUCUUUGAACGCACAUUGCGCCCCCUGGCAUUCCGGGGGGCAUGCCUGUCCGAGCGUCAUUGCUGCCCUUCAAGCCCGGCUUGUGUGUUGGGUCGUCGUCCCCUCCGGGGGACGGGCCCGAAAGGCAGCGGCGGCACCGCGUCCGGUCCUCGAGCGUAUGGGGCUUUGUCACCCGCUCGAUAAGGACCGGCCGGGCGCCAGCCGGCGUCUCCAACCUUUUUUUCUCAGGUUGACCUCGGAUCAGGUAGGGAUACCCGCUGAACUUCAGC
rnacentral:misc_RNA from 1 species